UUGACCUACGGGGGGCAGCAGUGAGGAAUAUUGGUCAAUGGACGCAAGUCUGAACCAGCCAUGCCGCGUGCAGGAAGACGGCUCUAUGAGUUGUAAACUGCUUUUGUACGAGGGUAAACGCAGAUACGUGUAUCUGUCUGAAAGUAUCGUACGAAUAAGGAUCGGCUAACUCCGUGCCAGCAGCCGCGGUAAUACGGAGGAUGCGAGCGUUAUCCGGAUUUAUUGGGUUUAAAGGGUGCGUAGGCGGGCUUUUAAGUCAGCGGUAAAAAUUCGGGGCUCAACCCCGUCCGGCCGUUGAAACUGGG
rnacentral:rRNA from 1 species